GCCCCGCUAGCUCAGCAGGCAGAGCAGCGGAUUCUUAAUCCGCGGGUCGGGGGUUCGAGUCCCUCGCGGGGCA
rnacentral:tRNA from 1 species